rnacentral:tRNA from 1 species
CCCACGAGGGUGAGAUACGCCAAAAUGCAAAAUUUGGAGAAGCUCCCCCAGGAGGGAGCCGGGGCUU